AAGUCUUCUGCAGAAGUGGGGAGGGGAACACAUUUCAGCUUUAGCGCACAGUCCGAGAGCUGCCGAGACUCAGCAACAGGGAAAUGGUGUUGAUGAGGAGACACUAUGUGUUCGGUGAAGAAAGGCCCCAGUGCAUGACUGUGUGACUCAGGGGAAGCCUGUGGACAUGGCCUGAGCAGCCCUUCGGAAAAGCCCACGUGCUGAGCAACUCGAGGCCUCACACCAACGGCCAGUGGAGACCCGAAGCAGCCUUGGCAACGGCCAGUCGUGGUGGGUGAACCGCUGUCAACACAGACCCUCAGUCGAGCCUUCAGAGCGCCACUGUCCAAGUGGACAGCUGAUUCCAAGCUCACCAGAGACAACGAACCCGGACAACUCAGGAAUGACAAGUACAACCCCAUUAAAAGAGGAGUUGGGUUUCGCUGACAAUGCCCGGAAGGGUGUCCCAGAUGGAGAGGACAGUAGACACAGAGGCACAGGACCAUGGCACUCCUGGAUGGAUCUGCACACAGGAUGGCUGGUGUGGCAAGUUUGGUUGGAGGCAACUAGAGAGAAUGAGGCCAUUACAGAUUUUGAACCAAUGACAGAAGGACACUUCAGGAGUUCGGAUCGAGCUCCUACCUCAGACUGUUCACAGUAGAAGGAGUUUUCCUACCACUGUUUGGUUACUACAAGUCUGGAAGCUUCGAAGUCAAAUACAGUUUGCCUUACAAAGAAUUAAGCCCUAGCUUCAGGAUAGAUGGUGUUAUCUCAUUCUUCCAACAACUUCCUGAAUGAGAUCUCUGUCAAGUCCAAACUUACUGGUAGCAGGAAAUGCUCAUUUUAAAUGGUAAGACCAUGAGGGGCACCUGGGUGGCUCAGUGGG